rnacentral:lncRNA from 10 species
GGGAAGUGGGCUGCGGUCACUGUCGGCCUUGCAAGGCCACCUGGAGGCCUGUCUGUUAGCCAGUGGUGGAGGAGCAAGGCUUCAGGAAGGGCCAGCCACAUGCCAUCUUCCCUGCGAUCAGGCAAAAAAGUGGAAUUAUGAAAUUUGUGAGGUGGAAGAAAAUAAUUGGGACGUCUACCUUCUUUCUCCAGGGUCUGGCUUUCCCAAAAACGUUAUAUCACAAAUGUUUUACUUCAUUGUUGAAAUCGCUGCCUCCUGUCCCACGUGUGUUUGUCGGGGUGUCACGCCCUUGUCUGCUUUCCUUCUCAUCCGUCCUGCAAGUCCUCAUGCCCUGGCCUCUUUUUUCCCUAAAUUCAGCCUUCUGGUGACACUUCAUGUUUGUCUCUUGUAAACAACAAAGCUGGAUUUCACUUUUUUUUUCUUUUAUUCAAUCAAAAGUCGGUGCAAAACAUGCCAGGGUCAUCACAUCUGAAAGCCAAGGGAGUGGUGUGUAGAUACCCAUUGGUAAUGAGUAGAGGGCUGCCCUGGGUGGAGGUGGCGGGUAAUUCCCAGCACUUCCAGAUGACCACACAUGUGGGCAAAGUGGCCUUCCACACUUAGGAUGGGGAAACCUUCAGGUACAGAUGCAGGCCCUGGCAGGUGUACUUCACCUGAGCACAGUGAAAAGUGCAAGCACGAUUUGUUGAGCACUGGCAGCCUCCAGCACACAGCUGUCCUCUAAACUCAGUGCAGACAGUCCUCCCUGCCUCUAGAGGUCAUGCCUCCAUUUCCCCAGGAGGAGCUGUAUCCAUGGGGAUGGAUUUCUCUCUCAGGAGUUUUCUGCUGGCUUUUAUCACUUUAUUCCUUGCAUGAUAGGUCAGUGGCUACAUGACUUGUGUCUUCCUGAGAGACUGUAAGGCACUCAAGAGCAACGGGUACAUCUGUAUUGUGCCUUGCUCACAGUCAAGCCUCAAAAGAUUUUUUAAAUACAAGACCCCGGAUAUGUUAUUUUAUACCACAUAUGUUAUUAAAGCAAUGAAGAGGAAAAAAAUCACUGACCUUUUACUAUGUACCAAAUGGGAAAAUAGUAUUUGCUAUUGAGAAAUAGGUAGUAUUAAUAUCUCCAUUUUAUAGUUAAGGAAAUUGAGGCAGAGAGAAGAUGAGUGGUGAAUUAGAUGAAUGAAAUCUUACACUCUCACUCUUAAUCACUAGGCUUCCCUGCCUCCCAUUAGACAUGAAUAGGAACUGCAAUUGAAAAAGUGUCAACCAGCAAAGAGUGGGGAGAUGAGUGGGCCUCUCAGCCAGUUUCAGAUAGGAAAAGCAGAGUGUUAAGCAAUAUGGGUAUUUUUAAUAAUAUGUUCAAACAAACUUACUUGGGCUUGUGUAUGUACCCCCCAAACACACACACACACACACACACACACACACGCACACACACACUGGGGUAGAACUACUCAAAAGCCCUCUGAUCAGAAAGAUUGUGCAUCCUGAGACCUGCCUUGCCUGCUCUGAGGGCAGAUCCCAGGGAACGCACCCUCACAGUCCCCCCACGUGGCUAUCCCCAGUCUGCCUUGGUGAGAGCAAUGUGUUUGAAUGCAGUAGGAGAGGAAGGGAAGUGGGAAUGUGCAAAUCGCCCCAUGGUCCCGACCUGCUCAGAGGCUACUUCCCAACUGGAACUCUUGCACACGGUAAUAGAAAUGUAAACGGUAUAACUUCUUUAAAAACAGAUGGUUUCUUUCUUAGAAAGUUAAACAUACACUUAACGUACAACCUGACAAUUCUGCUCUUAGAUAUUUAUUUAAGGGAAUGAAGCCAUGAUCUACAUUGUCUUGGCCAUAGAUAUUCACAAGGUUUAUUUAUACAGCUUCGAUCUGGAAAGAACCCAGACAUUCAUCAUUAGGUAGCUGGGUGAAGACUGUGGGUCAUGCACAC